rnacentral:rRNA from 1 species
CUGAACUUGGAAAUGCAUUUGAUACUGCGUGCUAGAGCGUGAGAGAGGAAAUGGGAUCCAUUGUAGAGUGAAAUCCGUAGAUAUCGGCAGGCAAUACCGAUGCGUAUGCACGUUCUGACUCAUGACUGACACGAGAUUCGAAAGCGUGGGGAGCAAACAGGAUUAGAUACCUGGUAGUCACGCCGUAAACGAUGGAUGCUUGUUGCUGGGAGCGUAAACCCUUUCAGUAACGAAGCUAACGCGUUAAGCAUCCCGCCUGGGGAGUACGGUCGCAAGAUUAAAACUCAAAGAAAUUGACGGGGACCCGCACAAGCAGUGGAGCAUGUGGUUCAAUUCGACGCAACGCGAAAAACCUUAUCCUAGCCUUGACAUGCCUGGACCGCCGAUGAAAGUCGGUUUUUCCCGCAAGGGAACUGGGACACAGGUGCUGCAUGGCUGUCGUCAGCUCGUGUCGUGAGAUGUUGGGUUAAGUCCCGUAACGAGCGCAACCCACGCCUCCUGUUGCCAUCAUUAAGUUGGGCACUCUGGAGGGACUGCCGGCGUUAAGCCGGAGGAAGGUGUGGAUGACGUCAAGUCCUCAUGGCCCUUAUGGCUAGGGCUACACACGUGCUACAAUGCAGAGUACAAAGGGCCGCGAAGUGGUGACACGGAGCCAAUCCCAAAAAACUCUGCUCAGUUCGGAUAGGAGUCUGCAACUCGACUCCUUGAGGCUGGAAUUGCUAGUAAUCGCAGAUCAGCACGCUGCGGUGAAUACGUUCCCGGGUCUUGUACACACCGCCCGUCACACCACGAAAGUCGUUUGCACCAGAAGUCGCUGAGCUAACCGCAAGGAGGCAGGCGCCCAAGGUGUGUGCGAUGAUUGGGGUGAAGUCGUAACAAGGUAACCAAGGCGAAUCGCAGAUGACAAUAAGUUACGACA